GUGGUUAUUGAUCUAGUUGAUCGCUGUCGCACAAACCAGAAAAAGUUGAUGCAAAUGCUAACUUCAACUGGGGACGAGGAGCUUCUUGGACGAGGCCUCGAAUUAAAG
rnacentral:sRNA from 1 species